UACAGAGGGGGCAAGCGUUAUUCGGAAUUAUUGGGCGUAAAGGGCGCGUAGGCGGCCUGGCAAGUGGAAGGUGAAAUCCCUCGGCUUAACCGAGGAACUGCCCUCCAAACUGCUUGGCUUGAGUUCGGGAGAGGGAUGCGGAAUUCCAGGUGUAGCGGUGAAAUGCGUAGAUAUCUGGAGGAACACCGGUGGCGAAGGCGGCAUCCUGGACCGGCACUGACGCUGAGGAGCGAAAGCCAGGGGAGCAAACGGG
rnacentral:rRNA from 1 species